AGGAUGAACGCUGGCGGUAUGCUUUACACAUGCAAGUCGUACGGGAGUUUUUAACUCAAGUGGCGGACGGGUGAGUAACACGUAAGAAUUUGCCUUUAGGAGGGGGACAACAACUGGAAACGGUUGCUAAUACCCCAUAUGCUUUCUAGUGAAAUGGAUUUAUCCGCCUAAAGAGAAGCUUGCGGCUGAUUAGCUUGUUGGUAAGGUAAUGGCUUACCAAGGCGACGAUCAGUAUCUGGUUUGAGAGGACGAUCAGACACACUGGAACUGAGACACGGUCCAGACUCCUACGGGAGGCAGCAGUGGGGAAUUUUCCGCAAUGGGCGAAAGCCUGACGGAGCAAUACCGCGUGAGGGAUGACGGCCUAUGGGUUGUAAACCUCUUUUUUUCAGGGAGGAAUCAAUGACGUGUACCUGAAGAAUAAGCAUCGGCUAACUCCGUGCCAGCAGCCGC
rnacentral:rRNA from 1 species